rnacentral:ncRNA from 18 species
GUAGCCUUGCCACUUCGAGGUUCUUCGGCCUGGCCGAAGCUAAGACGGGAACGCGGUACAAGCCGCGGCUGCCCCCGCAACUGUAAGCACCGACAACGGAUCGACACAGCCACUGCGCCAACGCGCGGGAAGGCGUCAUCCCGCCAGCCCGAACGGGGACAUGGAACGGUGCAAGCCAGGAGACCUGCCUCGUCACGUUUUCGACUU